rnacentral:rRNA from 1 species
UACGAAGGGGGCUAGCGUUGUUCGGAAUCACUGGGCGUAAAGGGCGCGUAGGCGGCUUGGCAAGUCAGGUGUGGAAGGCCUGGGCUCAACCCAGGAACUGCACUUGAGACUGCCUCGCUUGAGUCCGGGAGAGGAUGGCGGAAUUCCCAGUGUAGAGGUGAAAUUCGUAGAUAUUGGGAAGAACACCGGUGGCGAAGGCGGCCAUCUGGACCGGUACUGACGCUGAGGCGCGAAAGCGUGGGGAGCAAACAGG